rnacentral:rRNA from 1 species
GACGAACGCUGGCGGCGUGCUUAACACAUGCAAGUCGAACGGAAAGGCCCUGCUUUUGUGGGGUGCUCGAGUGGCGAACGGGUGAGUAACACGUGUGUAACCUGCCCUUGACUUUGGGAUAACUUCAGGAAACUGGGGCUAAUACCGGAUAGGAGCUCCUGCUGCAUGGUGGGGGUUGGAAAGUUUGGGCGGUUUGGGAUGGACUCGCGGCUUAUCAGCUUGUUGGUGGGGUAGUGGCUUACCAAGGUUUUGACGGGUAGCCGGCCAGAGAGGGUGACCGGCCACAUUGGGACUGAGGUACGGCCCAGACUCCUACGGGAGGCAGCAGUGGGGAAUAUUGCACAAUGGGCGGAAGCCUGAUGCAGCAACGCCGCGUGCGGGAUGACGGCCUUCGGGUUGUAAACCGAUUUCGCCUGUGACGAAGCGUGAGUGACGGUAAUGGGUAAAGAAGCACCGGCUAACUACGUG